AGAGUUUGAUCCUGGCUCAGGAUGAACGCUGGCGGCGUGCCUAACACAUGCAAGUCGAGCGAUUCUCUUCGGAGAAGAGCGGCGGACGGGUGAGUAACGCGUGGGUAACCUGCCCUGUACACACGGAUAACAUACCGAAAGGUAUGCUAAUACGAGAUAAUAUGCUUUUAUCGCAUGGUAGAAGUAUCAAAGCUUUUGCGGUACAGGAUGGACCCGCGUCUGAUUAGCUAGUUGGUAAGGUAACGGCUUACCAAGGCGACGAUCAGUAGCCGACCUGAGAGGGUGAUCGGCCACAUUGGAACUGAGACACGGUCCAAACUCCUACGGGAGGCAGCAGUGGGGAAUAUUGCACAAUGGGCGAAAGCCUGAUGCAGCAACGCCGCGUGAGCGAUGAAGGCCUUCGGGUCGUAAAGCUCUGUCCUCAAGGAAGAUAAUGACGGUACUUGAGGAGGAAGCCCCGGCUAACUACGUGCCAGCAGCCGCGGUAAUACGUAGGGGGCUAGCGUUAUCCGGAAUUACUGGGCGUAAAGGGUGCGUAGGUGGUUUCUUAAGUCAGAGGUGAAAGGCUACGGCUCAACCGUAGUAAGCCUUUGAAACUGGGAAACUUGAGUGCGGGAGAGGAGAGUGGAAUUCCUAGUGUAGCGGUGAAAUGCGUAGAUAUUAGGAGGAACACCAGUUGCGAAGGCGGCUCUCUGGACUGUAACUGACACUGAGGCACGAAAGCGUGGGGAGCAAACAGGAUUAGAUACCCUGAUAGUCCACGCCGUAAACGAUGAGUACUAGCUGUCGGAGGUUACCCCCUUCGGUGGCGCAGCUAACGCAUUAAGUACUCCGCCUGGAAGUACGCUCGCAAGAGUGAAACUCAAAUGAAUUGACGG
rnacentral:rRNA from 1 species